CACGAGACCCUGGGAUGGAAAGCAGGCGCUGGCUCCAGCUGUUCCCCCUUCUGCCAACAGCAGCCGCAGCUCAAAAGCCUAAGACCACCACGCUCCCUGCAAGCUAUCUGAGAUGAUAAGAAGACCAGGACCACAGCUCGGAAACAAUACUGACACAAUGGGAUUAAUGCAAUCAAAUUCGCCUGCUUGCAUGCCCGGAAGCCCAUCUCCUAGGCUGCUUCUUCACUCUGCAGAAACCUUCUAGUUUCAUGGAAUACCAUUUGUCAAUUCUUUUGAUUAUUUCCUGAGGUAUUAGAGUCUUUUCCAGAAAGUUUGUACCUAUAUCCAUAUCAUGAAGUGUUUCCCCCUACCAAUUCCAGUAUCUCAAGUCUUAUAUUAAGAUCUUUGAAAUGUUUUCAUUGAUUUGUGUUCAGACUAAGAGGUAUGUAACUAUUUUCAUUUUCUGUAUAUGAAUACCCAGUUUUCCCAACACAAUUUGUUGAAUGUGCUGUCUUUUUUCCCAAUGUAUAUUUAGACAACUUUAUCAAAAACGAGGUGGCUGUAGUUAUGUGAGCUUCUUUCUGAGAUCUAUACUCUAUUCAACUGGUCUACAUACCUGUUUUUGUGGCAGUGCCUUCUGGCUUUGUCACCAUGGUUCUGUGGUCUAACUUGAGGUCACAUGUGGACUCUCCAACAUGGUCCUUUCUACUUUCAACUGUUUUGGUCAUUUGGGCCUUUUGUAUUUCAAUAUAA